AGAAGAAAUUGGAGAAGCGUUCACGAUGAACCGCGAUCGCAUUGCCAACUGCAGCUGCAGGAGGGUGUGCUCCGCGGCUUCUCGUAGGAUUUUGCGCAGCUGCAAGUGGCUGAAAAACGAGACGGAGGGCGAGCGAUCAGGGGUGGGGGCGUGCGUGAUGCGAUGAAAUAAGAAUCAACGAUGAAAAACACCACAGUAUCGCGGCGAGGCAACCGCGAAGUGUUUCACCCCUUAACGUUCGUAUCUUUUCCCUUUUCUCUUUAUCCGAUCGUUGCAGAAUCAUCAGUUUUCUGCUUCCCAUGGAUUUGUCCCUUGCUGCUAUACAGGAUGUUCCAAAAUUCCUAACUAGGCUUCUUCGGCCACCAAGGAAAUCCAUGAAUCUUUCCCCACACCACGUCACCAACGUCCAUUCUUCUACCGUUAGCAGUGAGGCAAUGUUCGACAGGCGUCGCGGCAAGGCGCAUCAUCAAUGGAUGAGACUGCGGUGGAAAGUCCGGAGCAGUUUCGCCGGCAUCGACUUCAGGUUCCUGUUCACUUAGUUCAUCACUGCUUGCACCAGGACUUUUGCAACCCAACGAAGAAUUACUCACAGGAUAAUCACAUCUAGCGUAAGCGUUUGUAUUCAAUCUCUUCAGAGAUAUGGAUAGUUUUUGCUUCAGGCACUGCUCCUUUAUGGCUGUGUACGAUUCGCUGCCCGGAAGGACGUUCCAAUUCUGCUGAUUCUCGGUACUUCCGGAUUCCAAACAAGGCUGCUGAUGCUGCGACUGUUGGCUCUUGUGUUUACGGUCUUCCUUGUGUUUCUUUUUAUGCUUCACUUUAUGUUUGCGACGGUGAUACGAUAAUGUGUCGUACGUGGGAUUGUAACUGUAAGAAAAAUAAAUCAUAAUUAGUGUCAUAUACAUAUAUCUGUAUCAUAAAUCCAAAAUACGGUAGUUACGAAAAGUAUUUGAUCGCUAUUGUAUUUAUUAUACCGUUUACACGCUAAUUAAUUAGGUCCAAAUAGUAUAUUCGUAUCGUUUAGUGGUACUUUCGUAGUGAUACUAUGAAAAUGAAAUGUAGAACCCCAUAAGAGAGCGCUUCAUUAAAAAAUAAGAAUAUGUGCAAAUACUUUUUCUGUAACCACUAUAUAGAUGCACUGAUAACUAAUAUCUUAAAACGGUUAUUUUACCGUGGAGAUCCAUUGCAAGGAGAUCUCGCAGGCGAAACUCCACCGAGCAUUUUCCUCCUGGCCUCUUUUUUAGCCUUCUUUAGUGCACGUUUCGCAGCCUUAGCACUGGCGUCCUUCACACCCUGUUUCUGAGGAUCUACUUGCUCCUGUCCAUCUUCCUCUCCAUCCUCACGAUAAUCAUAAUCGUUGUCAAAAUUCCUGGGCAAUUCCAACGGAUCUCUCUCCGUUUCUGUCUGCACCUCCUCGGCUUCGUCAGUUUCCUGCUCGUACUCCGGAUCCUGAAUCUUGGAAGGUAUUUUCAAGACAGUUCCUUCACCCUGAGCACCGAAAGAGAUCUUAAUCACUGGUGUGGUUCUAGCUGUCCUUGUCG
rnacentral:misc_RNA from 1 species